GACGAACGCUGGCGGCGUGCUUAACACAUGCAAGUCGAACGGAAAGGCCCUGCUUUUGUGGGGUGCUCGAGUGGCGAACGGGUGAGUAACACGUGAGUAACCUGCCCUUGACUUUGGGAUAACUUCAGGAAACUGGGGCUAAUACCGGAUAGGAGCUCCUGCUGCAUGGUGGGGGUUGGAAAGUUUCGGCGGUUGGGGAUGGACUCGCGGCUUAUCAGCUUGUUGGUGGGGUAGUGGCUUACCAAGGCUUUGACGGGUAGCCGGCCUGAGAGGGUGACCGGCCACAUUGGGACUGAGAUCCGGCCCAGACUCCUACGGGAGGCAGCAGUGGGGAAUAUGGCACAAUGGGCGGAAGCCUGAUGCAGCAACGCCGCGUGCGGGAUGCCGGCCUUCGGGUUGUAAACCGCUUUCGCCUGUGACGAAGCGUGAGUGACGGUAAUGGGUAAAGAAGCACCGGCUAACUACGU
rnacentral:rRNA from 1 species